rnacentral:lncRNA from 1 species
AAGACACUCGCCUAUUAGCAUUCGCCUGCUGCUUUGCUGUGCUACACAUGGUACAGGCUGGGAAUACGUGCUCUGGGAUGGUCAGUACAUUUUUGGUCUUAGGAGAGCUAGUUUUUCAGUGCCAACUCAGUUUCUUUGGAGCUGAGGGAAUUUGCUUUGAAAGUUGAGAGAAAAACAUGCUUCACAGUUUUCACAGUUACACUCACCAGAAAUUACUUCAUUUGUGGCUGUUUUUGGCUUUCAUGCCCCAGCUAUUUUGACAUUUCACAUAAGUUAAGUGACAGAGAAUUAGUCGGCAUGCAUACUUAAAUGCCUGUAUGUUUGUGGCCAUUUCACAUUCAGGCAAAGGGUCUAGCUUUCCCUCAUGGGAAUUUCCUCCUCCUAAAAUAUAUGCAUCGUUUACAAAGUUACUUCUGCACAGGAGAAGCCUCUAGUCAGAUGUAGUUUGCAUACUUUCCAGAUCCUUUUUACUGCCAUAGAAAGAAAGAUAAAUACAACAAAAGCCUUGAGUAGCAAAGUGGCUAAUCUUUAGGCCGGGGUCAGGUAUUUACUGGAGAAGCAGCUGUGCCAGUUUAAGAGGUGAUUGACAUCCAGCUGUUUGACAUCACUCCCCAGCGGCUGUACAGUCAGCCCUGUUGCAUAAUAGACAAGACUGUAUAAAAAAAUUCCUCGUUCUUUGCAGGGCAAAGUCAGCUGGGUAAGCUCAGAUAACUUCUGCUUACUAACCCUGCUGCCUUUGCACUGGAGCAGAUGAGGAGUGCCCAGGUGAUUUAUCCCGACAUCGGAGCUGUACCAGGAAGUGGGUAAUUUCCAGUUUGUGCAUGGGCAUGGACAUUUUCAAAUGCCACAAAACCAUCUCUGCAAUGCCCACGUGACCGUGGCUCAGAAUAUACUCACUGUUUCAGAGGCUGUCAGUAACCGUCCUGUUCCAGACCCGGCUGUGCAGGCGAGGAUGGCAGGCGUCUGGCAUGGCUAUUCCCAGACGCUCAUGGCUCUUCCUGCAGCUCCAUGGGUCGAGAUGGUGCUACUACAGACAAAGCGUGCUGAGUUGUGCAGGAGGCGACUCUUGGCUGUGGUGAAAAUGCAAAACUGGAGGCAGAGGCAGCAAGACUUUCAACAGUCUGAGGUGUUUGCAAAGUGGAUAAUUGUGCAUGACCAGAUAUCUAAAACCUGGGCAAGACUCCACGCCGCGUGGCGCUUAGCCCGUCGGCAGGAGGGAGCGCGGGAGAGCUGCCCUGGAGCCGCGCAUGCCCACCGCCGAGGGCACCCUGGCACUGAACUCCCGUCGCCCAAGCAGGGUUGCCACUUCCCAGCACGCGGGUUGGUGCACGAUGGGCAGGAAGGGCCGCGUGCUCUUCUGCAGAGCCACAUUUCCACACAAAACAGCAGCGGCUGCCCCGAGGAGAAGCCGAGUCCUGCCAGAGCGUCUCCGAAUUUGCCAGCCCUGUGGCUGGUCUCUAGUCUGCRCCGUCCAGACCGGGCUCACGAGGAAUUGGAGUCUCCAUCCCGUCAUGCUUCUGAAGACCCACUGGCAUGCACUGGACAAGGAGAAGGCUUCUGUUAUCCAGCCAGAGAUGACGAAGGGGACCGAGGACACAUCGUGGACAACGGAUUGCGAAGGGCAAGCAGUCCAAUGACCUGCUUGCAAACAAUCCUGAUUUGAAAAUUCUUUAUCUAAUCUAAACUAAUAAUGACAAAUAGCCCUGAAAAAUAGUAGAAUCAAUUCACUAACCAAGCGAAGGCCUAGACUGAUAAUGAUAAAUUCACUCCAGUCUAAAUGUCCUUGUGGACCAUGGUUUUUAGUCUACAGAUAUUAAUUUGACUUUUGGAUAGCUUUUCUAAAUUGCAUCUCCAAACUUUUUUGACAGUUGCUUAUCUUUGCUACUAAAAAUCAUUAGAUUUUUUAUUUGUGUCAUGCAAUCAAUAAGAAAAAUAAAAGAUACUAAAG